AUUGAACGCUGGCGGCAGGCCUAACACAUGCAAGUCGAACGAGUGGCGGACGGGUGAGUAAUGUCUGGGAAACUGCCCGAUGGAGGGGGAUAACUGUUGGAAACGGUAGCUAUUACCGCAUACCAUCGGUUGGGCCCAGAUGGGAUUAGCUGGUUGGUGGGGUAAAGGCUCACCUAGGCGACGAUCCCUAGCGGGUCUGAGAGGAUGACCAGCCACCCUGGAACUGAGACACGGCCCAAACUCCAACGGGAGGCAGAAGAGGGGAAUAUUGGACAAUGGGCGCAAGCCUGAUGCAGCCAUGCCGCGUGUAUGAAGAAGGCCUUCGGGUUGUAAAGUACUUUGGUCGAGGAGGCGGUACCCGAAGAAGAAGCACCGGCUAACUCCGUGCCAGCAGCCGCGGUAAUAC
rnacentral:rRNA from 1 species